rnacentral:rRNA from 1 species
UACGUAGGGGGCUAGCGUUGUCCGGAAUCGAUUGGGCGUAAAGAGCGCGUGAGGCGGCCAGAUAAGUCCGGUGUGAAAGUCAAAGGCUCAACCUUUGAAUGCCGCUGGAAACUGUCGUGGCUAGAGUCGGAGGGGCGAGUGGAAUUCCUGGUGUAGCGGUGAAAUGCGCAGAUAUCAGGAGGAACACCAAUGGCGAAGGCAGCUCGCUGGAACGGUACUGACGCUGGAGGCGACGAAAGCGUGGGGAGCAAACAGG